UUUGCACACUAUUAAAGCUCAAAGCUGAGGUCAGUUUCUGGCCAGUGAACUCUUGAGUGUCGGAAGUGUGCUAUAGCAAAACACUGGCAGGAUUUUCGCUAACGCCAGGAGAGUUCUGCUCUAUGACUGGAGUUUGAUAGUACUCACUGCCACAUGC